UUGAACGCUGGCGGCAUGCCUUACACAUGCAAGUCGAACGGUAACAGGUCUUCGGAUGCUGACGAGUGGCGAACGGGUGAGUAAUAUAUCGGAACGUGCCCAGUUGUGGGGGAUAACUACUCGAAAGAGUGGCUAAUACCGCAUACGACCUGAGGGUGAAAGCGGGGGACCGUAAGGCCUCGCGCGAUCGGAGCGGCCGAUGUCAGAUUAGGUAGUUGGUGGGGUAAAGGCUCACCAAGCCGACGAUCUGUAGCUGGUCUGAGAGGACGACCAGCCACACUGGGACUGAGACACGGCCCAGACUCCUACGGGAGGCAGCAGUGGGGAAUUUUGGACAAUGGGCGCAAGCCUGAUCCAGCAAUGCCGCGUGCAGGAAGAAGGCCUUCGGGUUGUAAACUGCUUUUGUACGGAGCGAAAAGGCUCUCUCUAAUACAGGGGGCUCAUGACGGUACCGUAAGAAUAAGCACCGGCUAACUACGU
rnacentral:rRNA from 1 species